rnacentral:rRNA from 1 species
GACGUAGGGCGCGAGCGUUGUCCGGAUUUAUUGGGCGUAAAGAGCUCGUAGGCGGCUCGUUGCGUCAACCGUGAAAACCCGGGGCUUAACUUCGGGCUUGCGGUUGAUACGGGCGGGCUGGAGUUCGGUAGGGGAGACUGGAAUUCCUGGUGUAGCGGUGAAAUGCGCAGAUAUCAGGAGGAACACCGGUGGCGAAGGCGGGUCUCUGGGCCGAUACUGACGCUGAGGAAGCGAAAGGCGUGGGGAGCGAACAGG